rnacentral:rRNA from 1 species
UACGUAGGGUGCAAGCGUUGUCCGGAAUUAUUGGGCGUAAAGAGCUCGUAGGCGGUCUGUCACGUCGGCUGUGAAAUCCCGAGGCUCAACCUCGGGUCUGCAGUCGAUACGGGCAAACUAGAGUAUUGCAGGGGAGACUGGAAUUCCUGGUGUAGCGGCGAAAUGCGCAGAUAUCAGGAGGAACACCGGUGGCGAAGGCGGGUCUCUGGGCAGUAACUGACGCUGAGGAGCGAAAGCGUGGGGAGCAAACAGG